GUGCCCACCGCUCCCCUGCCCCGUGCUGCUCCCACCCCUGCAGGAAAAGGAUCUUUUGGGGGGAAGGUGGCUUUCUCCUUUGAGUACCACCAAGAGAAGCCCCCUGUGCAGUGCCCAGCAGGGACCACAGAGUCGCCAGCUCUGGUGGAGGCUCCGGAGCCAAACCCUGCAGCCUCUCGUGGCUGGAGCUGUGUUUCCCUGCUAAAACUCGGUUCCUCCAAGGCAUAACCACAAAAAGCCGCUGUAAAAGCUAGGGGCUGGAUGCGCUGCUCACAGCAAUGGCACGGAGUGGGGGCAGCUCUGGACAGCUUCAGGAUCCCUGGACCAAGGCACGGUGAGCGUGGCUGUGGUUUUAGCUCAGGAUGGAAGGCUGUCCCACGCUGUACAGCACAGCCCAGCAGCGGCAGCCGGGUCGCUGUGGGUUAAGGGAAGGCGCUUCCCGGCUUCUGAGCCCGUGAAAUCCCGGGUUUCCCCAUUCCCGGGUUUUCUCUCGCUGGGGUGAAGGUGGAAGCUCCGGGCAGGAGCCACGAGAGGGCUCUGCUCGUCAGCAAAGCGGGGACGAGCUUCGCUUCCAGCACCAGCGCUGGCUUAUCCAGCCCCAUCGAAAUCACGGAAUUCGCAUUUCAGGCAGCAGCAGGAUCUUCAGGUAAAGCACUGAAAUGCUACAAAUGCGUCGCAUCCAACGAGAACGACUGCAACCAGCAGGGAUCCCACAGCUGCCCGCAGUACGCCGACGCCUGCUCCACGAUCACCGCACCCAACAGCGUCAUUAAAUCCUGCUCCUACAAGUCCUUCUGUGACCAGGCGCGCCGCGGCGGCUCCGGCGGGGCCACCGUGCGCUGCUGCUUCGGCGACGAGUGCAACGGGC